rnacentral:misc_RNA from 1 species
GUUCGCUUCUCUGCUUGCCCUUCCUUCACUCUGCACAGUAAGGGACGAUCUGUGGCGUAGGAAAACACUCACUCGAAGGCCACUUGUCUCUGUCUCUUGUCCGCUGCUUUCACGCAUGCGAGCGUCUGGGGAUGACACCGACAGCAGUAGCGGCGUCUUCGUGUUGCCGCUGUUGUUUGCUCUCUGGUUUUUCGUCGGGUCUCCUCUGUUUUUGUGCGUAUGUCUAGGUGUAGGUGUGUCUGCGGGAGCGCUAAGGCAUCCAACCCUCGGAUGAAGCCACGUGACGUCCUCUUCUCUCUUUCCCGUGGCGAUGUGCACAGUGGGCGAAACAGGUGCGCGGCGCGUUGCCAAAACCAAUGACGGGAGCGCUUGUUUCAGUUCUUUUUCCUUUCGAACGAUCUUGGGACUAGGGAAGCGGCGUGUGGUCGCCCUCCAGACUUUUGUGCUGUUUCCCUGCUUUCAAAGCGGUGCUAGUCCUUCAGGCGCUGCAAUGAUGCAUCCUUCGUCUCGUACUCCUCGAUCUCUUAUUCAACUCCGCCUAUGCCUCUGUUUCUUCUCAUAACCAUGCGUUUUUUUUUUUUUACACUGGCCUGCUCAUUGCCUCCUUCGCGGAACCGCGGACGACGAUAUUCUUCAUUGCCCCACCCUCCUUCUCGGCCUUUGGUAUCAUCACCAACAACACCGCAUGUACAG